rnacentral:rRNA from 1 species
GUGCCAGCAGCCGCGGUAAUACGUAGGCAGCAAGCGUUGUUCGGAGUUACUGGGCGUAAAGAGUAUGUAGGCGGUUCUGUAAGUUUGGUGUGAAAUCUCCCGGCUCAACUGGGAGGGUGCGCCGAAAACUGCAGGGCUAGAGUGCGGGAGAGGAGAGCGGAAUUCCUGGUGUAGCGGUGAAAUGCGUAGAUAUCAGGAGGAACACCGGCGGUGUAGACGGCUCUCUGGACCGUAACUGACGCUGAGACACGAAAGCGUGGGUAGCAAACAGGAUUAGAAACCCGAGUAGUCCAAU